rnacentral:rRNA from 1 species
CCUUAGAUGUUCUGGGCCGCACGCGCGCUACACUGACGGAGCCAGCGAGUACUUCCUUGUCCGAAAGGUCCGGGUAAUCUUGUUAAACUCCGUCGUGCUGGGGAUAGAGCAUUGCAAUUAUUGCUCUUCAACGAGGAAUCCCUAGUAAGCGCAAGUCAUCAGCUUGCGUUGAUUACGUCCCUGCCCUUUGUACACACCGCCCGUCGCUACUACCGAUUGAAUGGCUCAGUGAGGCGUUCGGACUGGCCCAGAGAGGUGGGCAACUACCACUCAGGGCCGGAAAGUUCUCCAAACUCGGUCAUUUAGAGGAAGUAAAAGUCGUAACAAGGUCUCCGUUGGUGAACCAGCGGAGGGAUCAUUAC